GCGCUCACCCCCCAGCUCCUGCGGGCAUCGGGUCCCCUCCAGCAUCUCCGCCUCCCGCCCCCGCCGGCCCUGCAGAGGAGCCCCUGGAGCGCUGCUCACCUGUUUGUAGGCGUCGAGGAGGAAGCUUUUCCAGAUGCAGCGCAUUCCUUCUGAGGUCAGCAUGCGCCUCCACUGCCCGCGAGCGGACUUGGAGCGGCUCAGCAGCAGCACCACGUGCUUGAGGAGAAUGACCGAGUCAUAGAGCGCCAGGAAGAGGCAGUUGGAGAAAAAAACUGGCAGAAUCUGCAGUGUGAUCAGCAAGUCUACGCUGAGGAUGCCCAUCUUCUCUGCCUCCCGGCUUAAGAGCAUUCAUUGCCUCCUUCUGGUUGGAAAAGUAAGCAUCCGAGUAAUAAGGCUUCCUUUGGUCUACUUUUGACUCUUAAAUUGAGAUUAAGAGGAUGAAGUUGGAUAACCUAAAAGCAGACCUGGAGAUUUCAAGGAUGGAAGUUACAAAGAGUUACUACUCUUUGUUAUCUGAAGACAUCCAAGGGCAUUCAAGAAGUCUAUGGAAUUCAUGCUGCAGAUUUUCAAGCAGUCUUAGUUUCAUAAAAUUGUAUUCCUUCUAAUUCAAGUGAUUUGCUAAAAUGAUUUUAAAUGGAGAUUAAAUUUUACUUUCACAAAAAAACUUGUCUAAUCAAUAUAUGAUAAAUCCAAUAAUGUCUGGUCAGGACAGGUUGCACUGAUUCUGGUCUGGGAAUAUGAUUGCCAUAUAUACACCCACCUGCCAAGAGUGCAUUUCAGAGAAGGAAAUCACAAACAUUGUCAUUAUUUAGUUGCUAAGUCAUGUAUGACUCUUUGAGACCCCAUGGAUUGCAGCCAGCCAGGCUCCUCUGUCCAGAAGAUCUAGAUUUCCCAGGCAAGAAUACUGGAGUACGGUGCCCUUUCCUCCUCCAGGGGAUCUUCCUGACCCAGGGGUCGAACCUGUGUCUCCUGCAUUGGCAGGUGGAUUUUUUUUUUAACCGCUAAGCCACCAGGGAAACCCAGCCGCCACAACCUUCCACCCCUGGUGACUCCUGGUUGUGCUGAGAGGGAGUUAUAAUGAAGGGUUUACACCACAAUGACUGAAUCACUCAGAAUUCCCUGUGGGCCCAUCCAUUCUACUAACAGUCGUGUUCCCUGCCUUGUGAUGAAAGGAGAGGCUCAGUGGAUAAAAUAGACACCCCCAGAGUCAAUUCUGACACACCUUGAGCCAAGCAACUUCGGGCUGGGGCCAAGAAGGGGCGGACACUGUGGGAGGGAUGAGCAGUCUAUCCCAGCAGCCCAGCCGUGCUGUAGGCCCCUUGGCAAACUCUGGCAGAGGGCGCUGUCUGAGGCGUUAAGACGUUCUCCCCUCAGGAACAGCUGCUGCUCUUUUGUUUUUCUUCCAGGCCACCUACCGGCAAAACCAAGAAGGAAAAGAAAAGGGAAAACACAGGAGGAGGGGAAAGCAGAAAUGGAGAAAAGGAAGAUGAUGCUGGUGGAGAAGAGAAAAAGGAAUGUAGAAAGGAGAAGACUCAAUGAAUUGCCCAUGGAGGCUGCCACAGGAGAGCCCAUUAAUGCCCGUUGAGGCGAUGCUUUCUGUGAGGACAGCUGUCCAGAGAAUGGAUGGAUGUCAGCGACUCAAUUCACAGAGGCCACCGAACAGCUGUGAGGAGAUGACGGCUUUCAUUGGCCGUUGACCUGGUCUAGACCUAAACUGACGGCCGGUCCCCACCCCAGGGCCUCAGACCUCUUUAGGUGCUCUGAGACUCUUUGAGUGUGAGUUUUGAAACUCGUUUAUUAACCUCUGGAGACACCAGGGUUGGAUGGAGGGUUAGUGGAAUAGAUGAGAAGAAGAACACUCUGUGAAGUGACACGCAGCGAAUUCCUUCAGGACAAAAAGCCCUCAGAAGGAACAAACUGAACUCAUCUCUUUUCCCAAAAUUUGAUUCAGUGUCUUCAAAUCCUCGACCCAAUGCAAUAGACCAACAGAAACAAAGAAACACAGAAUCAGUCAUCAUUUUUGGAACUUUUCUUCUCCUUUGUUUCAUUCUACAGCUCAUAGGAAACAACCAGACGAUAAUUAGGUUUUAAAAUAAGUCAUUCUCUA